ACCAGUCAUCCAAGAUGCAUAGGAUGUGAGGAAGCCUUUCAUGGAACUACUGUCGACUUUUAUCAUAAAGCUUGGAGGCUGAAGCACAGCUUGGUAGGUCGCGCUUGUGACGAGCAUGGCAACAACCAGGAGGGCAUUGCGUAUGUCACUCAUCGACUCUUUUUCUUUCUUCAAAUUAUUCGAUGGGGAAUGUGAUAAUGAUUGAGGAGCAUUUGUGACUGGUUCACCAUCUGAUUGAUCUUCCUCUGAGAGUGGUCUUGAAGCAGGCGAGAUUGAUCUUCCUCUUUCGUGUUCAGCUCUAGCUCGUGAGAGAAUUUCUCUGCUCUCUCUAUCAUUAACAAUGACAGAUUGGGUCCUUAGACUGUACAUAUCCCCUAGGAAGUUAAAACUAGAAAGCCAUUUCAGCCAAAAAUCUAGAGCUAGCGCCAACCGCCUCUGUGCCAGUAGAAGAAGAAUGGACACAAUUACCAGCAACACGCUCAACAAUUCCAAGUUUUUCAAACCAAAUGCUUUGUCCAGUAAUGUGAACGGAAUGUAAUACGUGAUGCAAUAGUAAGUUUGAACCAGUGCAGUCACAGAGAGUAACAGUGGCCGCCUGACAGGGAGAUCUCUAGUGAGGCAAAUGAUCAUCUGGAUUGACAGCAAGAGUCCAAAUGUAUUACCGCUUAUGAAGCCAAUGCACGCGAUGUCCCUGCCAAGAGGACGACUCACCCACGAUGCAUAGUAUGCAAGGAAGCCUUUCACUGAAUCAUCAGUGACUUCUAUCGUAAAGCUUGGAGGCUGAAGCAUAGCUUGGUAGGUCGCGCUCGCAAUGAGUGUGGCGACAGCUAGCAGAGCACUACGUUUGUCACCUGGCAACUCUUUUUCUUUGUUCAAAUUUUUCGAAUUUGUGACUAGUUCCCAAUCUGAUUGGUCUUCCAUCGAGUCUAGGCUUGAAGCAGACGAGUUUGAUAUUGCUCUUUCGUGUUUGGCUCGAGUUCGUGUGAGAAUAUCUCUCAUCUCUCUCUCAUUAACAACUUGGUCCUUAGACUGUACACAUCCCCUUGGAAGUUAAACCCAGAAAGCUUUUUCAACCAAAAAUCUAAAGCUAGCGACAACCACUUUUGUGCCAAUAGAAGAAGAAUCGACAUUGUUACUGGCAGCACACUCAACAAUUCCACGUUUUUCAGACGAUACACUUUGUUUAGUAAGGUGAAUGGUAGGUAAUACGUGAAGCAAUAGUAAGUUUGAACCAGUGCGGUCACAGAAAGCAACAACGGCAACCUGACGGGGACAUCUCUGGUGAGGCAAAUGAUCAUCUGGAUCAACAGCAAGAGUCCAAACGUGUUGCCGCUUAUGAAGCCAAUGUAUGCUAUGUCCCUACCAAGAGGAUGAGUCACCCAAGAAGAAUAGUAUGCAAGGAAGCCUUUCGCUGAAUCAUAAGUGACUUUUAUCAUAAAACUUGGAGGCUGAAGCACAGCUUGGUAGGUCGUGCUUGCAAUGAGCGCGACAACAACUAGCAGGGUGUUACGCACAUCGCCUAUUGACUCUUUUUCUUGGUUGACAAUGAAGGAUUGGGUCCUUAGACUGUAUAUAUCCCCUUGGAAAUUAAACCCAGAAAGCUGUUUCAACCAAAAAUCUAAAGCUGGCACCAACCGCCUCUGUAACAGUAGAAGAAGAAUCGACAUUGUUACCGGCAGCACACUCAACAAUUCGACAUUUUUCAGACCAGACGCUUUGUUCAGUAAGGUGAACGGUAGGAAAUAUGUGAAGCAAUAGUAAGUUUGCACCAGUGCAGUCACAGACAGCAACAACAACAGCUUGACGGGGUGACCUCUGGUGAGGCAAUUGAUCAUCUGGAUCGAUAGCAAGAGUCCAAAUGUGUUGCCUCUUAUGAAGCUAAUGUACACCAUGUCCCUGCCAAGAGGAUGAGUCACCCAAGAAGAAUAAUAUGCAAGGAAGCCUUUCAUUGAAUUAUCAGCAACUUUUAUCGUAAAUCUUGGAGGCUGAAGCACAGCUUGGUAGGUCGUGCUUGCAAUGAGCGUGGCAACGACUAGCAGGGUGUUACGCACGUUGCCUAUUGACUCUCUUUCUUGGUUAACAACGAAGGAUUGGGUCCUCAGAUUGUACAUUUCCCCUAGAAGGUUAAACCGAGAAAGCCUUUCCAAGCAAAAACUAAAGCUAGUGCCAACUGCCUCUGUGCCAGUAGAAGAUGAAUUGACAUUGUUACCGGGAGCAUGCUUAACAAUUCCACGUUUUUUAGACCAAACGUUUUGUC
rnacentral:lncRNA from 1 species